rnacentral:rRNA from 1 species
CCUACGGGAGGCAGCAGUGAGGAAUAUUGGACAAUGGGCGCAAGCCUGAUCCAGCCAUGCCGCGUGCAGGAAGAAGCAUCUAUGGUGUGUAAACUGCUUUUGUACAGGAAGAAACACUCCCUCGUGAGGGAGCUUGACGGUACUGUAAGAAUAAGGACCGGCUAACUCCGUGCCAGCAGCCGCGGUAAUACGGAGGGUCCGAGCGUUAUCCGGAAUCAUUGGGUUUAAAGGGUCCGUAGGCGGUUUAAUAAGUCAGUGGUGAAAUCUGGUCGCUCAACGAUCAAACGGCCAUUGAUACUGUUAGACUUGAAUUAUAAGGAAGUAACUAGAAUAUGUAGUGUAGCGGUGAAAUGCUUAGAUAUUACAUGGAAUACCAAUUGCGAAGGCAGGUUACUACUUAUGGAUUGACGCUGAUGGACGAAAGCGUGGGGAGCGAACAGGAUUAGAUACCCCGGUAGUCCACGCCGUAAACGAUGGAUACUAGCUGUUCGGAGCAAUCUGAGUGNGUAGACGAAGUAGAGUAAGUAUACCACCGUACGGGAGGUACGUUACGUCGAAGAAGUAGAAACGUACGAAAGUAGUAAGUUAGUACGGACGUAGAGACGUAGACCGACGGACGACGACGAGGGGAGGAGG